GGGGAAUUUUGGACAAUGGGGGGAACCCUGAUCCAGCCAUGCCUCGUGAGUGAAGAAGGCCUUCGGGUUGUAAAGCUCUUUCGGCCGGGAAGAAAUCGUGCAGGCUAAUACCCUGUAUGGAUGACGGUACCGGAAUAAGAAGCACCGGCUACUACGUGCCAGCAGCCGCGGUAAUACGUAGGGUGCGAGCGUUAAUCGGAAUUACUGGGCGUAAAGCGUGCGCAGGCGGUUUUGUAAGACAGGCGUGAAAUCCCCGGGCUCAACCUGGGAACUGCGCUUGUGACUGCACGACUAGAGUACGGCAGAGGGGGAUGGAAUUCCGCGUGUAGCAGUGAAAUGCGUAGAUAUGCGGAGGAACACCGAUGGCGAAGGCAAUCCCCUGGGCCUGCACUGACGCUCAUGCACGAAAGCGUGGGGAGCAAACA
rnacentral:rRNA from 1 species